UGGGCCUGAAUGUGCCCAACCUCAUCUGGUCUUGGAAGCUAAGCAGGGUCGGGCCUGGUUAGUAUUUGGAUGGGAAGUUGAGGUCUGGAUGAAGUCUAGGU
rnacentral:rRNA from 1 species